CAAACGGCCCUUUUCAGGGCCACCAAAAAUACAACUAGAACAUCCG
rfam:Lasius niger Lnig_2.1_13409, whole genome shotgun sequence.